UACGGGGGGGGCAAGCGUUGUUCGGAAUUACUGGGCGUAAAGGGCUCGUAGGCGGCCAACUAAGUCGGACGUGAAAUCCCUCGGCUUAACCGGGGAACUGCGUCCGAUACUGGAUGGCUUGAGGUUGGGAGAGGGAUGCGGAAUUCCAGGUGUAGCGGUGAAAUGCGUAGAUAUCUGGAGGAACACCGGUGGCGAAGGCGGCAUCCUGGACCAACACUGGCACUGAGGAGCGAAAGCCAGGGGAGCAAACGGG
rnacentral:rRNA from 1 species